AUAAAUAAAUAAAUAAAUAAAUAAAUAAAUAAAUGUAAAAACAGUUUUUAAAAAGAAAAAAAGGAAAAACAACUGCACUGUUUCCAUCUUUCCUGGUUCAGUUCUUCCUUUCGAUAAGCUCAGCUUGUUGCCCUCCUUCCAUUCUCUCCGCCUCACUGCCCUGACCCACUAAUGACUCGAGAGACAGGAGUCAGGGCAGGUAGGAAAUGGGUGGUGUUUUGCUAGCAUGGUGUGGAAAAUACCCAGGAAUUCCACACAUGCCAUUGGGCGACUGCCACCUGGACGGGGCUUGGUUCUGCUUAUACGUCUACUUCACUUUUUGCAGUGAGAGUUUCUGGAUUGCAGGGUUUCCCCUCUACAAAAUCAACGGAAUCAAAUCCUUUCCCAAAAUCAGAUGACUGACGUUGCUAGAGAUCUACAUCAUUUCACGUGAAUAUCUAUGCAAAGGAGAGAAGACCUAGCUUGUUUUCAGCAUGUUUCCUCUGCCUGUGCCAAUGCACAGAAAGGAAGCCUCCUCCAAAAAUGAAGAAAGAGAAAGGGAUAUGCAGGUCCCAAGUGAUCACAGUUCUAUCCAAACACACUUGUAAAGUCACAUAAAGGAAAACUUCAAAUUUUAUCACCGUGCCUGAGAGUCAACUUGGAAAUUAGCGCCCUUUGGAUCCUUAUAAAGCUCUAAAUAUUUUCCACAAAUGUUCCAAGAUCUUUCAAAAUAAUAGGAAUCUGUUUCAUCUGGUGGUGCCCACUUCAACAAUGAUCACUACCUCCCAAAUGAAUGAGUUCUGGUCAAAGGCGGAGGCAGAACACAACAUAGAUACUUCUCUAGAGAGACUGUGGGAAUGACCCCAACUUCUCUCCCAGAGGCUCCGUCACCAUGUGAGACAACAAUGUGCUCUCCCGAAAUCUCCCAAACCUCGUCUGUAGAAAUCGUGUGUGCUUGCAGCCGAUCUUAUAAAACUGAAAUAGAGAUUAUCACGAAUAAGGAAAGCUCAGUAGGUAGCUUAUGAGAAUUAGAAUCCUACCUGUAUGAGCUGAAACAAUGCACACAGCAUUUUAGCAUUUCUGAGGCUUUGUUUCUUAACUUUUCAACAUAACGGUAAUAAUUAUAUGGUUGGAAGAACCAAUACGGACAAUGAUGCCUAGUACCUACGGUGUUAACUAUGAGCCAGUCACUUUCUUCAGCACUCUACCUAGGUUAAGUCAUUAAAUUCAAAGAACCUUAGGAGGUGGGUAUCAAUGCACUUUUUAAAUCCCUGUUUCACGGAGGAGGAAACUGAGACACAACAAUGUUGAAAGCUGCCCAAGGGUGACAGGGCAAAGCCAGCAUUCGAACCUGGGCAGUGUGACUCCAGAGCCGAAGUCCAGAAUGUGUCCAUCCUCUUUCUGUGCCUUCUUCACAAUGAGGGGCAGAACCUCAUGUGUCCCUGGGCAUGAGGUCCUGAGGACAGAAUACCAUUUCUGUAGUAAUCCAGCUAAGACUCUGGAAUCUAAACCUAAUCGUGAGGAAAUGUCAAAGAAAGCCCAAUGAGAGAUACUCUAUUUUAAAUAAAGGUGAGGGAUGACUGUAUUCUUCAGAAACAUCGACGUAAUAAAAGAUCAAGGCUGAGAACUGUUUCAGAUUAGACACCAAAGAGACACGACAAUUAAAUGCAACAUGGGACCCCAGCCUGGAUCCGGCCCCGGAGGGAAUGCUAUAAAUGACAUCGGAUGGAUGUGGACGAUGGGUUUGGGAAAAGUACCAGAAACUAUGCUACAUUCUUCAAACUGUCUUACAGUCCUCACCACAACCCUACAAGGUUACAAGAGGAAGGUGAAAACCAGAUGGCAUCAUUGGCGAUAAAGCUGCACUUUGAAGAGGUUCCAUCACUUUGUUCAAGAGCACAUGUCCCGUCAAGGGCACAACUGAGAUCCAAAUCCAAGUUUGUCUAUCCUCAGAAACCCACGCUGUCUCUCCUGCUGGCUCCCCACAGGUGCUCGAUAAAAGUCCGUUGCGUCUAUGUGGCCAGAUAAUGCCUUCAACUGCAGAACUGGUUAGUAAGUUCAAAAACAAAAUUCCAAGCCAAAUAGCCGCUGUCUGGAUACCUCGUUUAAUUUUUAAGGCAAAUAACCCGUCCGACAACUGCCCAAUUUCC